AAUCUAUAUCGAACAUGUUUCUUGCCUUUUACCAGAAACAUCCGGGCACUGUCUCC
rnacentral:snRNA from 2 species